CCAGCCGCACCCACCGGAGCCUGUUCACGUCAACUGCCCAGAGUAGGCGAAUUAUCAGCUCCCAGCCGAACCGGCCCCCUCCAACCCCAGUUUUCUCUCCUAUGAAAACACUAAGAAUAAUGUCACUGCAUCAGUUUUUACUGGAGCCAAUCACCUGUCAUGCCCGGAACAGGGAUAGUGCCCAGGUUGCCCUCAGUCCCACUAACCGCGCAGGGCACACCUGCAAGGAGAACGGGUGACAGCUCACGAACUCCAGGAGCACAGGUGCUGACUGGGCUCCCAGAGCGCCGCACCGUCCCUUGCGGGACAGACUGCAAUGGCUACGUCUGGAGCCAGGAAGAUGGUGCCUGGAAGCCAACCCUGGUGAUCCUGAGAAUUAAUCGUGCAGCUGCUUUUGUGAACCGAUCCCCCCUUGAGAACAAAUUUGCUGUAGGAAGUGGAGCACGACUCAUUUCUGUUUGUUUCUUUGAGUCUGAAAAUGACUAACGGGUGAGCAAGCACAUUAAAAAGCCGAUUCGCUCCACAGUCCUCUGCUUGGAUUGGCAUCCCAGCAACAUUACUCUGGCAGCAGGAUCAUGUGGCUUCAAAUGCAGAGUGUUUUCUGCCUACAUUAAAGAAGUGGAUGAAAAGCCAGCCAGCACGCCCUGGGGCAGCAAGAUGCCUAUUGGGCAGUUUAUGUCAGAGUUUGGUGGCAGUGGCACUGGUGGCUGGGUCCAUGGGGUCAUCUUUUCUGCCAGUGGGAGCCGCAUGGCCCAGGUCAGACAGGACAGCGCAUGUCUGCUGCUGAUGCCUUGAAAAGGGUGCAGGUCUUAACCCUGAAGACAGGGUUCCUGCCACUCCUGAGUGUGUCAUUUGUCUCAGAGAUCAGCAUCGUGGCUGCUGGCCAUGACUGCUGCCCAGUGCUCUUUAACUACAAUGACCUCACCUGCCUGACCUUCAUCUCCAAAUUAGACAUUCCAAAAUAGGGCAUCCAAUGUAAUGUGUCUGCCAUGGAAGGCGUCCGCAACAAGGACAAGAGGGCUACGACUGAGGACUGCAACAUGGCCUUGGAGACGCUGCACCAGAAUAGCAUCACUCAAGUCUCUAUUUAUCAGGUGGACAAGCAAGAUUGCUGCAAAGUUUGCACUAGUGUUAUAGAUAGAGACAUGACAAUUUGGGAUUUCAAGACCCUUGAGUCUUUCAUCCAGGGCCUCCAGAUAAUGUGAAGCUGAGUGAGCCUCCGCCAUCCAGCAUGACAAACUGUGGCUGAC